AUUGAACGCUGGCGGCAGGCUUAACACAUGCAAGUAGAGCGAGCGGCGGACGGGUGAGUAAUGUCUGGGAAAAUGCCUGGUGGAGGGGGGUAACUACUGGAAACGGUAGCUAAUACCGCAUACCAUCAGAUGUGCACAGAUGGGAUUAGCUAGUAGGUGGGGUAAUGGCUCACCAAGGCGACGAUCCCUCGCUGGUCUGAGAGGAUGACAAGCCACACUGGAACGGAGACACGGGAGAGACUCCUACGUGAGGCAGCAUGGGGGAAUAUUGCACAAUGGGCGAAAGCCGGAUGCAGCCAUGCCGCGGGUGUGAAGAAGGCCUUCGGGUUGUAAAGUACUUUCAGCGAGGAGGCGGUACUCGCAGAAGAAGCAACGGCUAACUCCGUGCCAGCAGCCGCGGUAAUAC
rnacentral:rRNA from 1 species